rnacentral:rRNA from 1 species
UACGGGGGGGGGCAAGCGUUGUUCGGAAUUACUGGGCGUAAAGGGUGCGUAGGCGGGUCUUUAAGUCAGGGGUGAAAUCCUGGAGCUCAACUCCAGAACUGCCUUUGAUACUGAAAGUCUUGAGUAUGGGAGAGGUGAGUGGAACUGCGAGUGUAGAGGUGAAAUUCGUAGAUAUUAGGAAGAACACCAGUGGCGAAGGCGGCUCACUGGUCCGGUACUGACGCUGAGGCACGAAAGCGUGGGGAGCAAACAGG